rnacentral:misc_RNA from 1 species
GAUGAAGAACGUAGCGAAAUGCGAUAAGUAGUGUGAAUUGCAGAAUUCAGUGAAUCAUCGAAUCUUUGAACGCACAUUGCGCCCCUUGGUAUUCCAUGGGGCAUGCCUGUUCGAGCGUCAUUUGUACCUUCAAGCUCUGCUUGGUGUUGGGUGUUUGUCUCGCCUCUGCGCGCAGACUCGCCUCAAAACGAUUGGCAGCCGGCGUAUUGAUUUCGGAGCGCAGUACAUCUCGCGCUUUGACAACAAAACGACGACGUCCAAAAAGUACAUUUUUUACACUCUUGACCUCGGAUCAGGUAGGGAUACCGCUGAACUUAAGCAUAUCAAUAAGCGGAGGA